GAACGAGGAGGAGGAGGAGGAGGGUUUUUCUAUUUUUCCCUCAAAUGGUUUCCUCUGGCUUUUUAGCAGAAACAUCUGUUUUGCAGUUGAGAUUAUGGCAACUGUCUCCUUUUCUUUUGUGGGAGGAAAAUGUCUUUUUGAAUUUCAGUAUUUCUUUGAGUGUUCUCUUGUGAAACAUUAUUUUUCUGGUUUAGUUUCUCUUCUGGAAAGCUAAAAAUAUGUGAUGUUUUCCAG
rnacentral:misc_RNA from 1 species